CAGGUUCAACAGUCUGAAACCCUGGGCAGGACAAGACGAUCUGCUUCUGAGGACAAUCGCAGUUGUUAAUCACUUGCACGUUCCAUUCAGCUUGCAGCACCAAACCCUGCAACAAAAUCCACCAACUCAAACCCAGAAAGGGGAGAGAAAGAAAGCUCUAAAGGAAUAGGAUGAGGAUUGCUGCAAUCAUGGCGGAGAGGUUGAUCAUAGCAGAAGGGAAUGCUUUUGAGUGGAAGGAGAAGUUCGAGAAGUUCAAGAACAGGGAAUUUGAGAGGUAAAAGGCUUGAAAGGAAAGACAUUGACCGAAGCAUAAGUGGAAUUUGAGAGGUAAAAGGCUUGAAAGGAAAGGCAUUGUCCGAAGCAUAAGUGAAAGGAAGGGCAUUGGCUGACCAUUGAUGGAGGCAGCCAUUUCUUUUUCAAUAUG